UACGAAGGGGGCUAGCGUUACUCGGAAUUAUUGGGCGUAAAGCGUGCGCAGGCUGUUUAGUAAGUUGGGAGUGAAAGCCCAGGGCUCAACCCUGGAAUUGCUCUCAAAACUGCUAAACUUGAGUACUGGAGAAGAUAGUGGAAUUCCUAGUGUAGAGGUGAAAUUUGUAGAUAUUAGGAGGAACAUCAGAAGCGAAGGCGACUAUCUGGUCAGAUACUGACGCUGUUGCACGAAGGCGUGGGGAGCAAACAGG
rnacentral:rRNA from 1 species